CUCAUGACAUUACUGCAAUCCUGCAACAAGUUCAACCUAAGCACCUUUCUUCUCAACGUUACCUUCGUCUACAAACAUCCUUACUGUUACCUGACAAUGUGAAACUUCAGCGAUGUCUCUCCCUGAACCCGGCCACUCUUCUGCCACUUCCCAAGGGGGGAAUUGUGCAUUACUGGUAUAGCCUGGACAUCAACCCAGAGGUUUGAGCAGAUUUGCAGCUGCCUGCACUUGCACCCCCCACAUGAU